rnacentral:rRNA from 1 species
AAUCCCGGCUCGGGGAGGUAGUGACAAAAAAUAACAAUGCGGGACUCUUAUGAGGCUUCGUAAUUGGAAUGAGUACAUUCUAAAUCCUUUAACGAGGAACUAUUGGAGGGCAAGUCUGGUGCCAGCAGCCGCGGUAAUUCCAGCUCCAAUAGCGUAUAUUAAAUUUGUUGCGUCUAAAAAGCUCGUAGUUUGAAAACUUGCCUUGGCUUACAACAGACGUCUAAGGGCGUCACCGUUUGUCGAGAGCAAAUAUGGGUGACUGUUCUUGCCUUCUUCACUGAUUGGCUCGUAAAAGUCAUCGAAGAUCACUUUGAUUAAAUUAGGGUGCUCAAAGCAAGUGUGCUACUUGAAUAUGAAUGCAUGGAAUGAUGGAAUAUGUUGUUGUUCUAUUUGUUGGUUUUUUGAAUGACGAAAUGAUUGGAAGGAACUGUUGGGGGCAUUCGUAUUGUUGUGAGAGAGGUGAAAUUCUUAGACCAUAGCAAGACGAACUACUGCGAAAGCAUUUGCCAAGAAUGUUUUCAUUGAUCAAGAACGAAAGUUAGAGGUUCGAAGGCGAUCAGAUACCGCCCUAGUUCUAACCAUAAACUAUGCCGACUAGCAAUUUGCUUUGUAUUUUUAUGACUAAGUGAGAGGCCACGGGAAACCAAAGUAGGGUUAUGGGGGAAGUAUGGUUGCAAAGCUGAAACUUAAAGGAAUUGACGGAAGGGCACCACCAGGAGUGGAGCCUGCGGCUUAAUUUGACCCAACACGGGAAAACUUACCUGGUCCUGACACUAGAAGGAUUGACAGAUUGAUAGCUCUUUCUUGAUUUGGUGGAUGGUGGUGCAUGGCCGUUCUUAGUUGGUGGAGUGAUUUGUCUGGUUAAUUCCGAUAACGAACGAGACUCUAGCCUAUUAAAUAAUAUGCGGAAUCAAUUUCUCCCGCGUUAUUUCUUAAUGGGAUCAAGCGUGUUUAACGCUUUGAAACAGAGCAAUAACAGGUCUGUGAUGCCCUUAGAUGUUCGGGGCUGCACGCGCGCUACAUUGAAGAACAAAGUGAGCCCUCUGGCUUUUAACAAAGCUAGAAAUCUUUUAAUGUUCUUCUUAAUGGGGAUAGGGGAUUGCAAUUGUGCCCCUUGAACGAGGAAUUCCCAGUAAGUGCUAGUCAUUAGCUAGUACUGAUUACGUCCCUGCCCUUUGUACACACCGCCCGUCGCUACUACCGAUUGAAUAGUUUAGUGAGAUCAUCUGAGUGUUUGUAUGUGCAUUCUGUGCUUGUAUGGUGUACGAAGAAGAUCAAACUUGAUUAUUUAGAGGAAGUAAAAGUCGUAACAAGGUUUCCGUAGGUGAACCUGCGGAAG